rnacentral:rRNA from 1 species
GAUGAACGCUGGCGGCGUGCCUAAUACAUGCAAGUCGAGCGAACGGACGAGAAGCUUGCUUCUCUGAUGUUGGCGGCGGACGGGUGAGUAACACGUGGAUAACCUACCUAUAAGACUGGGAUAACUUCGGGAAACCGGAGCUAAUACCGGAUGAUAUUUUGAACCGCAUGGUUCAAAGGUGAAAGACGGUCUUGCUGUCACUUAUAGAUGGAUCCGCGCUGCAUUAGCUAGUUGGUAAGGUAACGGCUUACCAAGGCAACGAUGCAUAGCCGACCUGAGAGGGUGAUCGGCCACACUGGAACUGAGACACGGUCCAGACUCCUACGGGAGGCAGCAGUAGGGAAUCUUCCGCAAUGGGCGAAAGCCUGACGGAGCAACGCCGCGUGAGUGAUGAAGGUCUUCGGAUCGUAAAACUCUGUUAUUAGGGAAGAACAUAUGUGUAAGUAACUGUGCACAUCUUGACGGUACCUAAUCAGAAAGCCACGGCUAACUACGUG